UUGACCUCGAAUCAGGUAGGACUACCCGCUGAACUUAAGCAUAUCAAUAAGCGGAGGAAAAGAAACUAACAAGGAUUCCCCUAGUAACUGCGAGUGAACCGGGAAAAGCUCAAAUUUUGAAUCUGGCGGUCUUUCGGCCGUCCGAGUUGUAAUCUAGAGAAGCGUCUUCCGCGCUGGACCGUGUAUAAGUUUCCUGGAAUGGAACGUCGUAGAGGGUGAGAAUCCCGUCUUUGACACGGACUACCAGGGCUAUGCGAUGCGCUCUCGACGAGUCGAGUUGUUUGGGAAUGCAGCUCAAAUAGGGUGGUAAAUUCCAUCUAA
rnacentral:rRNA from 1 species